rnacentral:rRNA from 1 species
AUUGAACGCUGGCGGCAUGCUUUACACAUGCAAGUCGAACGGCAGCAUGGGCUUCGGCCUGAUGGCGAGUGGCGAACGGGUGAGUAAUAUAUCGGAACGUACCCAAGAGUGGGGGAUAAUGUAGCGAAAGUUACGCUAAUACCGCAUACGAUCCAAGGAUGAAAGUGGGGGACCUUCGGGCCUCAUGCUCCUGGAGCGGCCGAUAGCGGAUUAGCUAGUUGGUAGGGUAAAGGCCGACCAAGGCAUCGAUCAGUAGCUGGUCUGAGAGGAGCACCAGCCACACUGGAACGGAGACACGGUCCAGACUCCUACGGGAGGCAGCAGUGGGGAAUUUUGGACAAUGGGGGCAACCCUGAUCCAGCAAUGCCGCGUGAGUGAAGAAGGCCUUCGGGUUGUAAAGCUCUUUUGUCAGGGAAGAAACGGUUGUGGCUAAUAUCCAUGGCUAAUGACGGUACCUGAAGAAUAAGCACCGGCUAACUACGUGCCAGCCGCCGCCGUAAUAC